GAUGAAGAACGCAGUGAAAUGCGAUAAGUAGUGUGAAUUGCAGAAUUCAGUGAAUCAUCGAAUCUUUGAACGCACAUUGCGCCCCUUGGUAUCCCGAGGGGCAUGCCUGUUCGAGCGUCAUUUCACCACUCAAGCCUGGCUUGGUGUUGGGCGACGUCCUCUUUGGGGACGCGCCUCGAAACGCUCGGCGGCGUGGCACCGGCUUUAAGCGUAGCAGAAUCUUUCGCUUUGGAAGUCGGGGCCCCGUCUGCCGGAAGACCUGCUCGCAAGGUUGACCUCGGAUCAGGCAGGGAUACCCGCUGAACUUAAGCAUAUCAAUAAGCGGAGA
rnacentral:misc_RNA from 1 species